rfam:Brassica oleracea var. oleracea cultivar TO1000 chromosome C2, whole genome shotgun sequence
GGAAUAUAAGAACCCGUCUCUUAACUUUUAACUAAAAAAGCUAAGAACCGGUUCUUAAAUAAGAGUUUUAAGAACCGGUUCUAAACUUUUUUAGUUAAAAGUUAAGAGACAUAUUCUUAUAUUCC